CAAUCUCGCUAUGUAGCUGGGGAUGGCCU
rnacentral:piRNA from 1 species